CAGUCGCCGCGGGAAUACGGAGGGUGCAAGCGUUAUCCGGAUUCACUGGGUUUAAAGGGUGCGUAGGCGGGCAGGUAAGUCAGUGGUGAAAUCUUCGAGCUUAACUCGGAAACUGCCGUUGAUACUAUCUGUCUUGAAUAACGUUGAGGUGAGCGGAAUAUGUCAUGUAGCGGUGAAAUGCUUAGAUAUGACAUAGAACACCGAUUGCGAAGGCAGCUCACUAAACGCUCAUUGACGCUGAGGCACGAAAGCGUGGGGAUCAAACAGGAUUAGAUACCCCAGUAGUCCCUGUCUCUUAUAA
rnacentral:rRNA from 1 species